rnacentral:siRNA from 1 species
CCAACUUACUUGACCACACCCAGU